UGGCGGACGGGUGAGUAAUGUCUGGGAAACUGCCUGAUGGAGGGGGAUAACUACUGGAAACGGUAGCUAAUACCGCAUAACGUCGCAAGACCAAAGAGGGGGACCUUCGGGCCUCUUGCCAUCGGAUGUGCCCAGAUGGGAUUAGCUAGUAGGUGGGGUAACGGCUCACCUAGGCGACGAUCCCUAGCUGGUCUGAGAGGAUGACCAGCCACACUGAAACUGAGACACGGUCCAG
rnacentral:rRNA from 1 species